rnacentral:rRNA from 1 species
CGGGGGGAGCAAGCGUUGUUCGGAUUUACUGGGCGUAAAGGGCGCGUAGGCGGCCACCGCAAGUCGACUGUGAAAUCUCCGGGCUUGACCCGGAAAGGUCAGCCGAUACUGCGGGGCUAGAGUGCAGAAGGGGCAACUGGAAUUCUCGGUGUAGCGGUGAAAUGCGUAGAUAUCGAGAGGAACACCUGCGGCGAAGGCGGGUUGCUGGGCUGACACUGACGCUGAGGCGCGAAAGCUAGGGGAGCGAACGGGAUUAGAUACCCCGGUAGCCCUAGCCUUAAACGAUGAAUGCUUGGUGUCUGGGGUUUUAUAGUCCCCGGGUGCCGUCGCUAACGCUUUAAGCAUUCCGCCUGGGGAGUACGGUCGCAAGACUG